CAGUAGCCGCGGGAAUGCGUAGGGUGCGAGCGUUAAUCGGAAUUACUGGGCGUAAAGCGUGCGCAGGCGGUUUUGUAAGACAGGCGUGAAAUCCCCGGGCUCAACCUGGGAAUGGCGCUUGUGACUGCAAAGCUAGAGUGCGGCAGAGGGGGAUGGAAUUCCGCGUGUAGCAGUGAAAUGCGUAGAUAUGCGGAGGAACACCGAUGGCGAAGGCAAUCCCCUGGGCCUGCACUGACGCUCAUGCACGAAAGCGUGGGGAGCAAACAGGAUUAGAUACCCCUGUAGUCCCUGUCUCUUAUAC
rnacentral:rRNA from 1 species